AAUCAUCAAAACCAACCCUCAUGUCGGCCAACAUAAGUUUCUAGUAUCCGUCUUUCGGACUCACACCUUUACGACUAGCUAUCACAACCCCCAUUAUUGCCCAAUUAAAAUAUUUAACACAUAACAAAAUCACCAAUUUUAGGAGUCAAUUAUUAAGGCAUUAUUAAGUGGUAUCGUCCUACCGACUGUAGCUAGCAAGCAAUGUCAUUAGCCAAUACUUAGGGGAAUCCCAAGUACCUCACAGACUCCAUUAUUAAAAUCACUUGGGGGAUUCCCGUGUACCUUACAAGGUUUUCAUAAAUCAUUCACUUAGGGGAUUCUAUUGUACUCCACAAGGUUUUUAAAACCAUUCUUAACCAUUUAACCAUUUAUACCAUGUAUUAAUUUAAGGAAACAAGUCAAGCCAAGUGAUAAUGCAUAAACCAAAAUCAAUUAUGUAAAUGGGUUGAGUUUAUUACCAAUUUUCAUAUCAAAACAAUCAAUUUAGGGAUUCUAUUGUACCCCUAUUUCUAUUCGUCAUUCCCAUGCACCACAUGUUCAUAACCAUAUUUAAAGUAUGAAUAACUAUAAUUAAACCAUGGAAAAAUAUUAUUCAAUAAUAAGCAAUCAAAACCCCUAACCCUUGUUUCAAACCAAGAUAAAUAUCUCAUGAACAUUACUUUAAAUCACAUGCUUUUACAAAAUUGAGAAUGAUGGAAGAAUAACAUGCCUUAAACACCAAGAAGUACAAAAAGAAAUCACCCUUAGAAGUCCCAAUUGAUUAAUCUCUUGAAAACCCUAUGUGUUCUUAACCUUGAGGAUUUGAGAGUGGUUUGAGAAGUUAUUUGACUUGUUUUUUAGGGUUAAUAAUACCUUAAAGAGGUUAUAAAAUGUGAGUUUCAAGUUGGGCAAAAGAGAAAAUGUCCAGAAUGCCCUUAACUUAAAAGCUAGAAAAAGGUCGUCUUUGAUUAUGAGUCAACCAUUGACUCGUAAUCAUUCCUUACGACUCAUCACCAUGAUUCAUAACCAUGGCAGUCUCGCUAAGAACACAAAUUGCUAUCCUUACGACUCCACCAACUGACUCGUAAUGGGACCCUAUGACUCGUAGGUCCCAGUCAUAAUCAACACAGAACCCAUUUGGGGUGUACACUGGACACCUUACGACUUACACCCUACAACUUGUAAUAUAUCCUUACAGAUCAUAUCGAGCCACUCGUACUCAGAGCAGAUGCAUGCCACAAACUUACAUGAUUUGGUUACAACUUAUCCCAAUGAGUCGUCAAGACACCUUACCACUCUUGGGGUUUGUCAUAACCAAGGCAGUGAGCUCAAAGCUCAAGAAAUUUCUAAGGACCAAAAUUCAGAGUAUUUCACUAACCGUACCCCAAACCGACACAGGUAAACAAAUAGAGUAUACUAGGGCGCUUGAGAGAAGCAUGUCAAAGAAACUCAACAAAAUGACCCUAUAACUUUGGGAGAAUGGGUGUUCUCCUAUCUUUUGAUUCGAAAACCAACACAUACUAGGGGUAGCGACUGUUUAUUAAAAAUACAGGACUCUACUAAGUGGUAACACGAUGUAUAGAAUAUGACGCUUGCCUGGUGCUCGAAGGUUGAAAUGAGAAGUAUUAUAAGCUUUGAAUGGAAGCUUCGGUAAAUAGAGAAGUAACUCUAACUGUCCCAAGGUAAAGAAAUUCUUUUUCGCAUAAGUAACGACCUGUAUGAAUGGUGUAAUGACUACCCCGUUGUAUCCAACAUAGACCCAAUGAAAUUAAAUUCUCCGUGAAGAUGUGGAGUACCAACGGCUAGAUGGUGAAGACCCGUGCACCUUAACUAUAACUUCAUAGUGACAACCUUAACCGAAAGUGUAGGAUAUAUGGGAGGUGGUGACAUAUAACAACCAAUCUUGAAAGACCAUUAUUUCAUCUAAAGGAUGUCUAAUCGUCGUAUCGAUAAUUUAGAGGGAAAUGGGACACUGCGAGAUAGAUAGUCUUUCUAGGGUGGAUGCCUCCUAAAGAGUAACAGAGGUGUGCGAAGGUAGGCUCAAGCUAAGAUUCUACUCAUGAACAUAAUUGUAUAAGCAUGCCUGACUGUGAGACCGACUAGUCAAACAGAGAUGAAAGUUGGCCAUAGUGAUCCCGGAGUCCUGCGUGGAAGGGCUCUCGCUCACAAAUCAAAGGUAUACUAGGGAUAAUAGGCUGAUAACUCCCAAGAACUCUUAUCGAUGGAGUUGUUUGGCACCUCGAUGUUGACUCAUCAUAUCCUGGGGUUGAAUAAGGUCCCAAGGGUUUAGUUGUUUGUCGAUUCAAGUGAUACAUGAGUUAGGUUUAGAAUAUUGUGAGACAGUUCGAUUCCUAUCUACCGUUAGUGUUAAAGGGAGAACUGCGAGGAGCCAACCCUAGUACGAGAUGACUGGGUUGGUAUAACCCAUGGUGUACUGGUUGUUAUGCUAAUAGCAGUGCCUACAACUAAGUUGGUAUGGAAAAAUUGCUAUGCCAUGGAAAAUCCUUCUCGAUAUAAGUUCUGGAUACAGUUUUUGAGCAAAACUUUGAUAGGUGAGAGAUGUAAGCACCGCGUGGUAUGAAGCAAUCUCGUACUAAAUGAAACAACUUUCACUU
rnacentral:rRNA from 1 species